GAGCGAACGCUGGCGGCAGGCCUAACACAUGCAAGUCGAACGAACCUUUCGGGGUUAGUGGCGGACGGGUGAGUAACACGUGGGAACGUGCCUUUAGGUUCGGAAUAACUCAGGGAAACUUGUGCUAAUACCAAAUGUGCCCUUCGGGGGAAAGAUUUAUCGCCUUUAGAGCGGCCCGCGUCUGAUUAGCUAGUUGGUUGAGGUAAUGGCUCACCAAGGCGACGAUCAGUAGCUGGUCUGAGAGGAUGAUCAGCCACAUUGGGACUGAGACACGGCCCAAACUCCUACGGGAGGCAGCAGUGGGGAAUCUUGCGCAAUGGGCGAAAGCCUGACGCAGCCAUGCCGCGUGAAUGAUGAAGGUCUUAGGAUUGUAAAAUUCUUUCACCGGGGACGAUAAUGACGGUACCCGGAGAAGAAGCCCCGGCUAACUUCGUG
rnacentral:rRNA from 1 species